rnacentral:rRNA from 1 species
CCUUAACCUGGUCUUGACAUAGUAAGAACUUUCCAGAGAUGGAUUGGUGCCUUCGGGAACUUACAUACAGGUGCUGCAUGGCUGUCGUCAGCUCGUGUCGUGAGAUUGUUCGGGUUAAGUCCCGCAACGAGCCGCAACCCUUUUUCCUUAUUUGCCAGCGGGUUAAGCCGGGAACUUUUAAGGAUACUGCCAGUGACAAACUGGAGGAAGGCGGGGACGACGUCAAGUCAUCAUGGCCCUUACGACCAGGGCUACACACGUGCUACAAUGGUCGGUACAAAGGGUUGCUACCUCGCGAGAGGAUGCUAAUCUCAAAAAGCCGAUCGUAGUCCGGAUUGGAGUCUGCAACUCGACUCCAUGAAGUCGGAAUCGCUAGUAAUCGCGGAUCAGAAUGCCGCGGUGAAUACGUUCCCGGGCCUUGUACACACCGCCCGUCACACCAUGGGAGUUUGUUGCACCAGAAGUAGGUAGUCUAACCGCAAGGAGGGACGCUUACCACGGUGUGGCAGAUGACUGGGGUGAAGUCGUAACAAGGUAGGCGUAGAUGA